UACAGAGGGGGCAAGCGUUAUUCGGAAUUAUUGGGCGUAAAGGGCGCGUAGGCGGCUUUGCAGGUGGCGGGUGAAAUCCCUCGGCUUAACCGAGGAACUGCCUGUCAAACUGCAUGGCUUGAGACCAGGAGAGGUGAGUGGAAUUCCCAGUGUAGCGGUGAAAUGCGUAGAUAUUGGGAGGAACACCAGUGGCGAAGGCGGCUCACUGGACUGGUACUGACGCUGAUGAGCGAAAGCUAGGGGAGCAAACGGG
rnacentral:rRNA from 1 species